AGAUGGCGCCGCUUCAUCGGACUUCAGAAGGCGUAGUCGUAUACUUGCAAACGUGAACGUAUUCGAGCUCUGAACUGCAGCUAGCCGGAGAACAACGAUCCCAUCCCAAAUGGAUAUCACGGCCCGAAGAAGUCAACUACGCCUUCCACGAACAGUCCUGGUGCUGCUUGUGUUCACUCACAGUACAACCGUGCUAUCCCUACGGCUACACCCGUUCACUUUUCCCGAGAAGACCGUCGUCGGAACCCAAGUGUCCGCAGCGUGCACAACAGUGGAAGCAGCUUAAAACGUACGUUUCCGGUGGUUCAAGAACGGAAGGCUGCUCACAGGAUCAGAACGGGACGGUCGGAUACAUUUGAGGACGUUCCCCGAAGUAUCUACGUUAGUCAUUGGGCCGCUGGAAGAAAACGACAGUGGAAACUACACUUGCACUGGCACGGCGGGACUCAAGUCAGACUCCUACACGCAGAGCCUGCACGUUUUGGUUCCACCUAAAUGGAUCCACGAGCCCAGCGACGUCGACGUCAGAGAAGGCGACAACGUCACGGUCACGUGCAGUGCCUCGGGCCGGCCAGCUCCUUCGGUGAAGUGGAAACGCAAGGG